AUGUCGGUGAGCGCGACGAUGGGGGUGAUGAAGCCCCUCCUCGACAAGCUCGCCGCGUUGGCGGGCGGCGAGUACAGUAAGCUCAAAGGGGUGAAGAAGCAGGCGUCCUUCCUCGAGAAGGAGCUCAGCGCCAUGAACGCCGCACUCGAGAAGAUGGAGCUCAUGGACGAGCUCGAUCCGGUUGCCAGGGACUGGAGGGACCAUGUCAGGGAGAUGUCCUAUGACAUGGAGAACUGCAUCGACGACUUCGUGCGCCAGUUUGGAGAAGGUAAUGCAAAGCUAGGAUUCAUCAAGAAGACUGCUCGAAGCCUCAGGAUGUUGGGACAGCGCCACCGGAUCGCUGAUCGAAUGGAGGAGCUCAAGGUUCUUGCACUGGAGGCAAAUGAACGCCGCAUCAGGUACAAGAUCGAUGAAUUCAAUCCUAAUUCUAGCUCUGUGGCUAUUGAUCCUCGGAUGUCGGCAAUAUACACCAAGGCUGCUGGUCUUGUGGGUACAGAUGGUCCAAAGAAGGAGCUUGUUAAUUUGUUGACAAGUAAAGCAGAAAAGGAGCUCAAGGUGGUGUCAAUUGUGGGAUUUGGAGGACUAGGUAAAACGACACUUGCCAAACAGGUGUACGAUGAGAUCAGAGGGCAGUUUGACCAUACAGCCUUUGUUUCCGUAUCCCAAAAACCUAACAUGACAGGGCUUCUCUAUCGUAUACAACUAAAACUUGGGAUGAAUCGGUCUUCUCGUGUUUGUGAGGUGGAAGACAUUACUGAUGAUCUUCGAAAUUAUCUCACACACAAGAGAUACCUUAUUAUAGUUGAUGACAUGUGGGACCAGUCAGCAUGGAAUACUAUAAGCCGCGCCUUUCCAGAAAGUGCUAAUGGGAGUAGAGUAAUAAUAACCACACGAGUAGAAAGUGUGGCUUCUGCGGCAUGUUGCAGUCGCCCCGAGUUCAUUUACAGAAUGAAGCCCCUCAACAAGCAAGACUCAAAAAAAUUGUUUUUUGGUAGAGUAUAUGGGUCUGAAGAUGACCAUCAAUUUGAAGAAAUUACAGCUGAAAUUCUGAAGAAGUGUGGGGGACUUCCACUUGCAAUCAUUACUAUAGCUAGCCUAUUAGCUAGUCGUCCUGAAAAGUUAAGGGAUGAGUGGGAGAGCAUCAGGAAUUCUCUUGGAACCCAUUUUGCUGUAAACCCCACAGUGGAAGGGGUGAAGAAUAUAUUAAACCUUAGCUACAUCCAUCUUCCCCUUCAUCUCCGGGCAUGUUUUCUUCACCUUGGUAUAUAUCCAGAAGACCGCGAGAUUGAGAGGGAUGAUUUGGUUCGACAAUGGUUGGCUGAAGGACUUGUCAGUAAAUUGCAUGGGCAAGACUCUGAGGUUGUUGCCAAGAGCUAUUUUAAUGAUCUUAUCAAUAGAAGCUUGAUUCAGCCUGGAUGUAAUAAGGAUGGCGAGUUGGUAUCGUGCAGAGUACAUGAUAUGAUGCUCGAUUUGAUCCUAAGCAAGUGUGAAGAGCAUAAUUUUCUGAGAGUUGAAUGCAGUCCUGAAGAGAUGGCAAGAGAUCAUGGCCGAAAAUACAAGGUCCGUCGUAUAUCCAUGAACUUCAGUAAUGGUGGUGUAGCAGAUGAGGCAACAUCAAGGGUCAUCCCUUCUAGUGUAUCACAAGUUCGAUCACUUGCACUCUUCGGGGAAUCCAAGUACAUGCCCCCUCUUUUGCAUUUUAAGCAUCUCAGGGUGUUUCUCUGUAAAAGUUUGGGCCACGAACCAAUUGAUCUUACUGCUAUUAGCCAAUUGGUGCAACUGAGGUAUUUAAAGGUUUCAUGUGGAGAUGAAAUCAAACUCCCUACUAAAAUGGAAGGGCUUGUGCAUUUGGAGACACUGGAUUUAAAUUGCAGCUGGGGCUUACAAAUCCCAUCGGAUAUAGUUAACUUGCCCCGCUUAUCCCACUUGGAAGUUCCAUACGGAACCGAAGUGCCUAAAGGGAUCAGGAAAAUGAAAUCAUUGCACACUUUGAUUGGGUUUUUCCAGUACCCGAAUUCGUUGGAGGAUAUUGAGGGACUCGGUGAGCUUACUAGUCUGAGACGCGUGGUUCUCUCAGUAUCUUCACUAGACCGACUUGAGAUAGCGACAUGGGUUGCUUUGGCGCAUUCUAUUGAGAUGUUGCAUGACCUCAGAUAUCUCGGAAUCAUUGGCGGUGCCUCUUAUACGAGUGACCUGCUAGACUCAUUAUCAAAUCCUUCUCGUCAUAUCAAGGUACUUGAGCUGGGUUGUCUUAGGAUGCCUAGAGUUCCCAAAUGGAUUUGUGGUCUCCAAUGCCUCUGCCGGCUAGAGCUGAAUGUUGACACGUGCACUGACGAGUUGCACGCUCUUGGAAAGCUGCCCUCUCCCGUGCACCUCAGUUUACAGCUGUGGAGCAUCCCUGAAGAUAGCACUGUCAUUUUCUCUGCGGGAUCAUUUCCAGUUCUAGAGUUAUGUGAAUGUAAAUCAAAGUAUGAUGUUACUGCCUACCUGGCCUUUGGGGCAGGGGCUAUGCCCAAACUAAGUUGGCUUGGACUACAGUUCGACAAGAGUAACUGGGGCGGCGCUACACCAGUUGGCUUGGAGCACCUGUUGGAGCCUCAAGACUAUCAUUGUAUACAUCACCUGCGGCCCCGAAGAAGUGAAGGAUGA
rnacentral:rRNA from 1 species